rnacentral:rRNA from 1 species
UACGGAGGGUCCAAGCGUUGUCCGGAAUCACUGGGUGUAAAGGGUGCGUAGGCGGACUCGUAAGUCAGAGGUGAAAGCCCGCAGCUCAACUGCGGAACGGCCUUUGAUACUGCGAGCCUUGAGUCCUGGAGGGUUGGCGGAAUUCGUGGUGUAGCGGUGAAAUGCGUAGAUAUCAGGAGGAACACCGGUGGUGUAGACGGCUUUCUGGACCGUAACUGACGCUGAGACACGAAAGCGUGGGUAGCAAACAGG